rnacentral:lncRNA from 1 species
CUGUUCUUAGUCCAGUAUGUCAGUAGAAUUUAUAGUGCAAAUAAAAUUUGCUUAAUUAAAAGAUUUUUUUUGAAAGUCCGUCUAUUAUCAGAAAGCACCAGGAAGAAGUUGUAUUAGUAGCUGCUGUUUUCAUUGGAUUUUCAUUAAAUUUCUGUGUAAAAUCUAUUCUUAAUAAGAGAUUUUGUUUGUUUUCCAAACAUACUAUAUAGUAUGAUCUUUUGCAAUCGAAAUGGAUAAGGAAGAAACGAGUGAGGGCUGGUGAUGGUCUUAUAACCACUACAGAAACUCUGUGUUUAGUGCUGUAUCUUGUCUUCAUUCUCAUGUUGAUUAAUUACUAGAUGUUGUCAGUCAUGUCUCCAAUGAAAACAGGAGUGAUAGGGCUUUCUGAGUCAGUUGAUGAAUGAAUCAUACUAAUUUUUAGCAGUUUUUUCAUAUAAUUUUGUCUCCAUCUUUUCAGUAUGUUGACCAAGUUCUUCUAGGUGGUAAAGUUUGUGUUCCAGGUAUAUUGAGUUUAUGUAUUUAUCAUGUAUGCACUAUUGUUAGGUGAAAACAUACUUCAACUUGAUGGGCAGCUAUUAUUCAGUAUUCAUGUAUACUAAUGUUGAUAUAUAUUAGAUACUGUGUUUUACUAUACCUACAAGGUUAUACAAAAUUCUUUUCUUUUACUCAUGAGUUCCAUUUGUUUGGAUUUUUGGUUUGUUUAGAUUUUUUUUCUUCGUGUGUUAAAAAAUAUAGUUUAAUGCUUUUCCUGGUACCUUGCCCUUUGUUGGCAUAAUUGGAAUAUAAAUCGUUCAAAUCUCCACAAUUAAGAGUUUCAGAAAUAUGUGAUACUGGCCACUUGACUUAAUAAAGACUAGAUAUACAAAACAGGUAGAAAAAAAAUACCUAUUUCCUCACUAAAAACAAUUGAAUAUUUUUCUUAUUAUUAGCAAAUAUUAGUAAUAGCAUAGACUAUGAAUAAUUUCUAUAUGUUUUGGCAAGCACAUAGUGAGACAAUGCUUAUUACAGUAAGUACGCAUUUCAGUUAACUAACUGGGCACUGUAAUUCCAAUAGGGCUGUAAUGCAUGGAAACUCACUCUUCAGAUUCCUUAGAGCUGUAACCUGAGACAGUUGAAGGGCCCAUAGUUCAUUUGGGAGGUGUAGAUAGUAGUGAAGCUGAGGAAGCCUGGAAAGGAAAGGUGUACAGAGGGUGUGCUGUCAAGCUGGCUAACACUGCAGGAUGCUAGAACUGUAUUUCCUUUGUGCUACUCUGGAAAAACUAGAACACACAAUUCAGACAUACCUCAUGUGAAGAAUUGGGAUACAGAACUAGUUUGGGGCAGUGGUAGCUAUCCUGUACAGUGAACAGUUCUUGGCAACUUGUGAUCAAGAGCUGUAGCUGGACAUGAUGGCACAUGCUUGCAGUUCCAGCACCUGAGAGGUAGAAUCAGGAAGACCAGGAGUUUAGGGGGAACCUGGGCUACAUGGACUGUGUCCAAAAAAAAAAAAAAAAAAAAAAAUAGAGAAGAGCAGUAGCUGAAGAUUGGUAGACCCAGACUAUCAUUAUAAUACCCACAUCGUCCCUUACAUGUAUACUUGACAGUCCAGCCUCGUAGUACAGUCAGAUGGCAUCCUGUGCGCUUGCACUGCAUGACUGUGUAGCCCACGCAGGCAGAGCCAGGCAAGACUGAAAGGCACAAUGAGAAGACAGUGCUGUGGUUCUGACCCUGGUGGUCUUUACUAUCCAUGUGACCAGGUCUCAUCUGUAAGAUCAGAAGAUGAAUCAGUACACACCACUCUCAGGUGUGUUUGCUCUGAAGCACAUUUGAGCUGAACUUUGCGCAGAAGAGAGGAGGAGGUGCCUUGUUUUACAAAGAGGGAGGUCUGUUUAAUCAGCAAGAUGGAAAAGAUUUCUUGGCAAUUUAAAUUUUCAAAGGCAAAAAGGACAGAUGUUGUCCAGUGAAAAUUAAAAACUUACCUAAAAGGCUUUUUUAAGUUUCUACUUGAACACAUAUUUCACAACUGCAGGUUUGGGCUUCUUUUUCCCUUAUGUUACAUCAUGAACAUGCCACAUGUUAACGUGUAUAAUAUACAAAGUAUGUAAUGUAAAUUGAUAUUGUAUGACUGGUUAUAUCUACAUAUUAAUACUAAAUUAUGAAUGUAUAAUUGAUGUGAAAUAAAACACAUCCCUGAUAUUGAA